CUUCGUCACUCCAUACGGUGCGCCACUCUCUCUCUCUCUCUCCCUCUUUUUCCUCUCGGCCUAAUCUUUUACAGUCGUCGCUCUGGUCAUCAUCAACACUAGCAUCGUCUUCUUCUUUCAGGCUCUCAUUUCACACACUCACACUUUUCUUCUUCAAGUCUCAUCUCACCCUCUCGCGACCUCUAUCUGUCACGAUCCCUCACGCGCCAAUCUGAUCGCUGACCCGCAAAUGGACCCAGCUACUUGCCACCGUUGCCACCAGUUCGCAACUAGUUCGCCACCGUCGGCUAUACGGGCAUCGGUGAAAAUAAAUACUAUAUCACUGCAAAGGGUCGUUCAAAGUGGGUCGCAAAGGGUGUGAUACAAUUAUCACCAAGGACAAAGGUGUUUCUCGGGUACAUGCAGAAAUAUUUGUUGGGGAGAUGACUUCUGCUAAUCCCCUGAAGACUUCUAGUUUGUCCAACAAAGUUCGAAUUAAAGAUUGCUCAAAGUACGGAACAUUUAUUAAUAAGAGCCUUGGGUUAACGGAGAAAGUCCAUGAGUUCCCACGAAAAGAAACAAGUUUAACAGAUGGGAACCUUAUUUCAUUUGGAACUGG